ACCUGCUGUUUUCCAAAAAAAAAAAAAAAAAAAAAAAAAAAAAAAAGAGAGGACGCAAAUGAAGAGUCUUACGGAUGGGAGUCGCGAGGGGUGAUGAUACCGGAGCGCGUCGGUGAGCGGAUCCUGUUCCACCGGUGAUAAUAAAGCCUUAGAAAUAAAAGCCUAGGAAAUAGUUGGGAGGAGGGAGGGACCGCUAUUCCUGCUAGGGCAGGUUUACAACUGAUGUCUUACACCCACUCCAGGAAACAAACCUGGGUAGGGACUGACGUGUUACGCCUCUUCUAAUGACAUUUUUUUCUUUCCACCUCCUUUUCUCCGCCGCGGCGCGCAGAGGAAGGAGAAGCCCCCUGAAACGCACGCCACCUAUCUUCACGGGAGGGGAUAAUUGAGGAGAGUCAAACGUGAGCAUCUUCUGGGUUGAAGGUUUUUUUCCCCUUCCUUCCUCUCACUCCCUCUCUCCCCCCUCGCCGUUCCUCUGCUUUCCUUUGCCCUCACUCUCGUCUCUGUUUCUGAGGGUUUGCGUCUUUCUCGUGUGAGCGCGCACGGACAGAAGGGGAGAAAACUUCAUCACGUGCCGGCUGCGAUCAUUCCGCCUCUCUAUGGCUAAUUAAAUCAUCAAUCAAGAGGCUGAACCGGUUGAUGCCCCCCUCCCCUUCCCCCACUUACAAAGAGCCAAUCAGGAGGCGCGUAAACUGGCGACACAACCUGCAAAGGGGGAAGGCUGAAGGACCUUUCAGAAUAAAAGUUUUGGGGUAAGUUUCGUUUUAUUUGAAUUUCUGUUGUCAAGUCAUGCUUUUAAACAUGGAGGAGGAGGAAGAUGCGUGUGUUCAGACCUGUGUGUGAAUUAUUGAAAUUUAGUGUCAUUGAGCGCGUGCGUACGUCCACAUUUCUCUUUUUGUCUCACAUUUGAACUGUAGUGCCUCUUCCGUGCACGCGCGCACACUCGCACACACAACGUAGAGCAGCACCCCCUCUCUUCUCCACGGGUUGCACAUCCACCGUGAAAACGGAUUAGUCAGUAUGAGACCUAUAGGGGGACCUUAAUGAAUAUAUAGCUUUAUGUUAGGUGUGUUUGGGGGUGCGUGCGUGUGUGCGCGCGCGCUGUUUAAUUCUAGAUGUAAAACCAACCAUGUUAAAACGACAACAUAAUCUUUUGGUUUCAUUGUAAAAUUAGAUUUUUUUUUACCAAAUGUAUUUUUUCUUCUUUAAAUAAAAAUAUAUUUGACAUCAAA